GAUGAACGCUGGCGGCGUGCCUAAUACAUGCAAGUCGAGCGAACGGACGAGAAGCUUGCUUCUCUGAUGUUAGCGGCGGACGGGUGAGUAACACGUGGAUAACCUACCUAUAAGACUGGGAUAACUUCGGGAAACCGUAGCUAAUACCGGAUAAUAUUUUGAACCGCAUGGUUCAAAAGUGAAAGACGGUCUUGCUGUCACUUAUAGAUGGAUCCGCGCUGCAUUAGCUAGUUGGUAAGGUAACGGCUUACCAAGGCAACGAUGCAUAGCCGACCUGAGAGGGUGAUCGGCCACACUGGAACUGAGACACGGUCCAGACUCCUACGGGAGGCAGCAGUAGGGAAUCUUCCGCAAUGGGCGAAAGCCUGACGGAGCAACGCCGCGCGAGUGAUGAAGGUCUUCGGAUCGUAAAACUCUGUUAUUAGGGAAGAACAUAUGUGUAAGUAACUGUGCACAUCUUGACGGUACCUAAUCAGAAAGCCACGGCUAACUACGUG
rnacentral:rRNA from 1 species